UCUUGUGGUCUGUCUCGGUGCAGAUUGAACACACACACGUCUGAUCAUCUCUACAGAACAGAUCCAGAGGUCUCUCGUGUUUCUGACAUAUAUAGUCCUCCAGAUUACUCACAGGAUCCAUCAGUUUGUGUUUCUUCAAACCUGCCACUCUCAAAUGACGCUCCAGGUGAGUUUCACAGUAAGAGCUCUGACACACCAGACACGACUUCAGCGCUUUCAGCUUUCUUUCCUCACAGAUGUCACACAGAACUUCAGUUGUUUUCUCAGGACUUUUCUUCUUACAGUGAUCUACGAGCUCUCGGAGUGUGGUAUUAAUCUUGAGAUCAGGUCUUUGCUUGAAUGUUUCUUUACAGUAUGGACAGCUGCAGGUCUGGCUGUUGUCCCAGCACUUAUUCAGAC